GAUGAACGCUGGCGGCGUGCCUAAUACAUGCAAGUCGAGCGAACAGACGAGGAGCUUGCUCCUCUGACGUUAGCGGCGGACGGGUGAGUAACACGUGGAUAACCUACCUAUAAGACUGGGAUAACUUCGGCAAACCGGAGCUAAUACCGGAUAAUAUAUUGAACCGCAUGGUUCAAUAGUGAAAGACGGUUUUGCUGUCACUUAUAGAUGGAUCCGCGCCGCAUUAGCUAGUUGGUAAGGUAACGGCUUACCAAGGCAACGAUGCGUAGCCGACCUGAGAGGGUGAUCGGCCACACUGGAACUGAGACACGGUCCAGACUCCUACGGGAGGCAGCAGUAGGGAAUCUUCCGCAAUGGGCGAAAGCUUGACGGAGCAACGCCGCGUGAGUGAUGAAGGUCUUCGGAUCGUAAAACUCUGUUAUUAGGGAAGAACAAAUGUGUAAGUAACUAUGCACGUCUUGACGGUACCUAAUCAGAAAGCCACGGCUAACUACGUG
rnacentral:rRNA from 1 species